GCGGUCAUCGUCCAGCAGUAGGACACGGCUAUGCCAAGGCUGAAACGUCGGUGCGAAUCCGGCUGACCGCACCA
rnacentral:tRNA from 1 species